GACAGCAGAGGCGCAGAAAAAGCUGUCAGAUACAGAUUGACAAAGCCGCAGCCCCCUUUCGCUUGGCAGAGCCUUUACAGCGACACUUUUAAAACAAAGACAAUUGCACCCGGUAAUAACAGGUAUACAAUACUGAGCAAGUACAAAAGGAAACCAAUCAAGAUUAUACGAUAUUUGUACAAUACUCCCAAACAAGAAAACAGAACCUACAUGCUAACGUACAUAGCACCCAAAGUACUGUUCGACACGUUGAAGAGGUCAAAAUUAUUGUUCACAUAAGGUAUAUACAUAUUCGUAUAGCGCUACCAAUCCCUGCAAAAUAUAGAACGCAGAUUUUCAUUACACACACGCACGCACGCACGUGCACAGCACACACACCAAAAGGAAACGGCAACGCGCUCACAGGAAGCGCCUGAAAAACGAAAAAAAAGGAAAAGUGUGGGGAACCGAGGUCGUCUUGGGCUGUCGCCUCUCCCUCUCCCAGAAGGAAUGAAGAGGUUCUUGGAAAGCAGGGACGGGCGAUUCUCUCUGUCAGCAUCAGCUCCCACCAGCGAGGACGGGGCGAGAAAGCGAAACGGGACUUUCCUUGCUGUCUAUUUUUUCUUCGUCAGGCCAACGCCGCUUGCUUGCAGGGGCGCAGGCGAGUUCCCGCCAAAUGGCGCGGGUGCGUGAGUUGCCGCCAAAUGCUAGCUCUGGAUGCCAGCUCGUUCCGCGUCUCAUGGUAGACUAGUUGGUGCAUUUCUGUUAUCAUGGACUGCGCAUAUAAACGCAAGCUACACAAAAGUGACAAGGACAAGAACAGCGCAAGCCCUUUACAUGCAGUGGAGCCGCCGUAUCUCGCCGUUCAAGAUAUGCGUACUCGUAAGUGGCAUUUUAAUUUCACGUUGUGUAAUGCAUGACUGUCUUUUUCAAGUGAACAAAGGUCGCUUUGUAUUGUGUAAAUGGUUUUGCAACGUAUGAUAAACUCCUUGUCUUUCGGGCUUAUUUUUUCUGACAGGAAGAAAAAAAAAAGAGGCUUUACAUGAGAACGGAUCAAGCGUUCGAGAGCUGGGACAGAGAAAUGUGAGACGUACUUUCAUGUAUAUAUUUCUAAUAUUAUUUUUUCGUCUUGUAUUCUCGUUAAUUUUUCUCUAGGAAACGCUGGAACGACACUGCUUAAAUUGAAGCACAGUACGUGUGCGAAUGACCUGCUACGCUCGGAACUGUUAUCACCAUUCGGGAAGAAAUUGGAUGAAAAAAUAUAACUGUAAAUACCUGUAUGAUAUACGUCUGGUGCAUUGCAGGUAAGAAUGGAUUGUGUGUGGCGCGCUUCACCGCAUGUGGACUAGAGUAGAUCUAGGAACAUCAGACAAGAAGACACGUAUGUGAAACCCUGCGGAUAGCCCAUAUGUGAACUUUUUUUCCAGAAACGGAGGAACGGACACCGGUCGUGCCGUGAGCACUAUUCUGCAGGGCAUACUUCCAAAUGAAGCUGCACUGCAGUUCAGCUGGAAAGGGUCGCAGGGGAGGAAGCACGCCUUCGUGAAGCUCAUGGCCAUCACGAAUAUAACAUCUGUGAGGAGCACGUUCCCUGACGCUUCACUAGCAUCAGUGGCUGGAGUCGCAAAACGCUGGUUGGUUGGAGCAGCUGACAGGGAUGGAGGCCGGAAUGAAAGAAGGCGCCGUGACCCUGCUUCAAGCCCACCAAAUAUGAACUAGUGUUUGAAACUUGUGAACGUGUCGGUGUACAUAUACAAUUACAAGAAAUAAAGACCUGUAUCAGAA